UACGAAGGGUGCGAGCGUUGUUCGGAAUUACUGGGCGUAAAGGGUUCGUAGGCGGGAACUUAAGUCACGUGUGAAAUCCCCAGGCUCAACCUGGGACGUGCACGUGAAACUGAGUUUCUUGAAUCUUGGAGAGGGUGAUGGAAUUGCUGGUGUAGGAGUGACAUCCGUAGAGAUCAGCAGGAACACCGGAGGCGAAGGCGAUCACCUGGCCAAAGAUUGACGCUGAGGAACGAAAGCGUGGGGAGCAAACAGG
rnacentral:rRNA from 1 species